CUAAUUAAAAUGGAUUAUUCCGGCGACAAUUGGCCGGACAGACCAAAAUUGAUAAAAAUUAGAUAGUCAGGGUACUCAAUUGUUACUUUUUAAAGUCAUUGAUUGAAAUUAACAAGACCUCAAUAGUCAUUGGAC